rnacentral:ncRNA from 1 species
UAUUUGACUCGGGGGCUGGUGGCGCUAUUGACUGGCCUUGCGUCAUCCGCAGAGGAGAAGCCGGUGGGAACCCGGUACGGUCGCGCCACUGUAUACCGCAUGCAUGCGGGAGUCAGACCUCUUCAGCGGAUAUGAAUUAC